CCUAAGGUAUGCAAGUCGAAUGCCGAUUUAUCGGCAUGGCAGACGGCUGAGUAACACAUGGGAAUCUACCUCAAACUCGAGAAUAGCCCAUCGAAAGGUGGUGUAGUACUCGAUAGUUCCGUUUACGGUAAAGCUCCGGCGGUUUGAGAUGAGCCCAUGUCCUAUCAGGUUGUUGGUGGGGUAAUUGCCUACCAAGCCUAUGACGGGUAGCUGGUUUGAGAGGAUGAUCAGCCAGACUGGGACUGCGAUACGGCCCAGACUCCUACGGGAGGCAGCAACUAGGAAUCAUGCGCAAUGGACGAAAGUCUGACGCUGCGACGUCGCGUGAGGGAUGAAGGUCUUAGGAUCGUAAACCUCUUUUAUCUGGGAACAAGUUCUGAGUGUACCAGAUGAAUAAGUGCCUGCCAACCACGUGCCAGAAGCAUCGGUAAUGCGUGGGGCACGAGCGUUAUCCGGAUUUACUGGGCGUAAAGAGAUGCGUAGGCGCCUUUUUAAGUCACUUGUAAAAUCUCCCCGCUCAACGGGGAAACUGCAAGUGAUACUGAAUUGGUUGAGUCAAGUAGAGGAGAGGGGAAUUCCUGGUGGAGCGGUUAAAUGCGUUGAUAUCAGGAGGAAUACCAAGUGCGAAGGCACCUCUCUGGACUUGUACUGACGCUAAGGCUCGAAAGUGUGGGGAGCAAAACGGAUUAGAUACCCGUGUAGUCCACACUGUAAACGAUCCCUGCUAGAUGUU
rnacentral:rRNA from 1 species